GGGUGCGAUCAUUCCAGCACUAAUGCACCGGAUCCCAUCAGAACUCCGAAGUUAAACGUGCUUGGGCGAGAGUAGUACUAAGAUGGGUGACCACUUGGGAAGCCCUCGUGUUGUACGUC
rnacentral:rRNA from 1 species